GCAUCUACAGCUCAGUGGCAGAGUAGUGGGACGUUGACCCAUGUGGCCCGGGUUUGAGCCCCGUUCGAAGCA